rnacentral:rRNA from 1 species
CUUCUAUCAAUCUUAGUGGCGAACGGGUGAGUAACGCGUAAGCAACCUGCCUAUCAGAGGGGAACAACAGUUAGAAAUGACUGCUAAUACCGCAUAUGCCUAAGUACCACAUGGUACAAUAGGGAAAGAAGCAAUUCGCUGAUAGAUGGGCUUGCGUCUGAUUAGAUAGUUGGUGGGGCAACGGCCUACCAAGUCGACGAUCAGUAGCCGGACUGAGAGGUUGAACGGCCACAUUGGGACUGAGAUACGGCCCAGACUCC